ensembl:lncRNA
GCUCAGACACUGGAGUCUCCUCCAGAGAUGGGAAGUUACCACGGGAGAAAGGAUCACAGCACUCAGGACACUGGGGUGAAAGCUGCCGAAACCCUCACCACUGCACUCGAGCUUGAUGCCUGACAGCUGCGCUAAUCUCGCUACGCUCCAAAGUGGAGAAAAGAAACGGAAGUUGCCUUACCUGACAACGGAGACAAGCAAGAUGCGCCGAGAGCUCCAGUGGGGGCAGAACCUGGACUAUGAAUGAUAGCAGGUGAGAAGGGACCACCAACUUC